rnacentral:rRNA from 1 species
CCUACGGGAGGCUGCAGUGAGGAAUAUUGGUCAAUGGUCGGGAGACUGAACCAGCCAAGCCGCGUGAGGGAUGAAGGUACAGAGUAUCGUAAACCUCUUUUGUCAGGGAACAAAGGCGGGGACGUGUCCCCGGAUGAGUGUACCUGAAGAAAAUGCAUCGGCUACCACCGUGCCAGCAGCCGCGGUAAUACGGGGGAUGCGAGUGUUAUCCGGUUUUAUUGGGUUAAAGGGGUGCGCAGGGGGUAUGUAAAGUCAGUGGUCAAAGCCCGGGGUUCAACCCCGGCCCGCCGUUGAAACUGGGAGUCUCGAGUUGGAGAGAAGUAUGCGGAAUGCGCGGUGGAGCGGUGAAAUGCAUAGAUAUCGCGCAGAACACCGAUUGCGAAGGCAGCAUGCCGGCUCCACACUGACGCUGAGGCACGAAAGCGUGGGGAGCGAACAGGAUUAGAUACCCCAGUAGUC